rnacentral:lncRNA from 1 species
CACACACUUGCUCACACGACCCUUCUGCGCGAGGCGUGAGGAAUACGGUCUAUGUACAGCUUCGCGCGCGCUGCAUCUAGUAGCCAGCGCUGCCCCUUAGGCGACGCUCGUUGCUGGUUAGGCGGCGUGCCGCCAUUGUUUGGGUGGCAUGCCUUCAAUUAGUUGGUUGUAUGCUUAGUUUGAUAUGCUAUAAUAUAAUUAUUAUGUGUUAAUGCAUGUUUAAAUGAAUGCAUAUAAACUGGUUAUUUGCAUGUUUAACUAUAAUAAUUAACUUGCACGUGAUAAAUGUUAAUACAUGAUAUACUGUACAAUGAUGAAGUAACGAAGCAUGAUGUUGUGUUUUAAGCAUGAGAAAUAUUUAUCGAUAUUGGCAUGCAUGGUUCAUAAAUGACAUGUUUCGUUAGGGUUUUUAUUUAUGAGGGAUUUUUAUUUCUCCCCCCAUCAAGUCUAAAAAGACGUGAGAGGACAGCUCCAUAUAGAUGACAGUGUACCCUCUAACAAGAGUGGUGACGCGAUAUGAUUAUAGGGGUCACCUUUGGUGAAGUACAACCGUGACCAUAGUUUAUAUAUAAGACCAUUGUGAUUGGUACAACGAUGGUCAUAAAUCGUGUCAUGGUUUGGCAAGCCGUAAACAUGUUAUUGGU